rnacentral:lncRNA from 1 species
CAGGGCAUAUGAUUCAGAUCCUCAUGCCACAGGGCUCUGUAGCCACCAAACUGAUUACCUACUGGGAAAAGAAAAGCCCACUGACGUAUAAUGAUAAUCCUGCAACAGACGAAAGAAACUUUAGGGUCAUCUUUCUGAGAUCGUUGCUCAGGGGUCAGGCCCCAGGUGUUAAGAAGAGCAGGCAUUACAAGGUUUAUUGAGAAGAAUAUGACAGGGAUGCAUUACCAGGUGCAGCAUGAUGAGAUGGAAGACAGGACUGCACCUGGCUCUGAGGUCAGCCUCAGCGU